GUCGAUCUGCUCCAUGAAGUAAAAUUUAAAUAGCUGCAGUAUAUUGACUGUACAAAGGUAGCAUAAUAAAUUGUCUUUUAAUUGAAGAAUUGAAUGAACGAAUUGAUGAAAUAACAACUGUCUCUAUUUUAUUGAAUGAAUUUAAAUUUUUAGUUAAAAUGCUAAAAUUUAAUUAUGGGACGAUAAGACCCUAUAGAAUUUUAUUUAAAUAAUUAUUUAUUUAAAUUAUUUGUAAAUAAAUAAUUAAUUUAAAUUUGAUUGGGAGGAUUGGUAAAUAUAAAUAACUUUAUCUUAUAAAUAAUUUUAAUUAGAAAAUAUUUUUUGAUCUAUAAAUUAUAAUUAAAAGAAUAAAUUACCUUAGGGAUAACAGCGUAAUAUCUUUUGAUAGACCAUAUUGAUAAAGAUGAUUGCGACCUCGAUGUUGAAUUAAGAUAAAAAUUAGACGCAGAAGUUUAAAAAUUUAAGUCUG
rnacentral:rRNA from 1 species